rnacentral:lncRNA from 12 species
AUGAGAAGAAAGCAUUGUAAGAACCUUGCCACCAUGGCACGCACCACCUGCAAGCUCCUUAAAGACAGCUGCAAAAUCAGGUUGUUCCUUGAAGUCCGCCCAACAGCACCUGCAAGAGCUUGGCAGGAAAUGGCUACUUAUUGGUUACUGAAUGAACGAAGAGGCAAAAGAACAAACAAACCAGAUAUGCGUCCAAACACACAAGUGAGUAAUAUAGUAAUUUUUGUCACAAUAAACCAGCAAUGCAAUUUUUAAGGUGUCUAAAGCACAAGUCAUAGAAUCAAGAUUUGAAAUUUUGAAAAAGACCUGUAUAUUUUGAAAAACAUCUUCGAGUUAAAAUCUGAAAAGAGAAGAAAAACUUUCUAAAAAUCAAGUAAAGGAAUGCUCGCAGCAGUGAGAAUGAGUACAGUUUCCAUACAUGAAACAAUGGGGAUGAACUUCACAGAAAUCACAAUGCAUGAGAGAAGCCAGACCCAAAGGAAAACAUCCUGACUGGUGCUCUUUGUGAAGGAGGCUUUCUCAGCCUUGGCAUUAGUGAGAUUUGGGACCACUUAACCCUCUGUGAUCAGGGGCUGUGCAUUGUCUGGUGUUUAGCAGCAUCCGUGGGCUCCCUAGAUGCCAGCGGUACCGACUCCCCUUCUGUGACAGCCAGCAAUGUCUCCAGGCAUUGGCAAAUGCCCUGGCAGACAAGGAUCACCCUCAACUGAGCCUCUGCUACAAAGCAAUCUCUGCUUAGAAGACUGGUUGGUACAGGUGUGUGUGUGGGGGGGGGGCGAGGGGGUGUCCAAUAGGUGUUUUCAAGGAUGCUAGUAAUAUUUUUUUUUAUCUUGAUCCUGGCUAAUUUUGUGUUCAGCUUUAUUAAAAAUUCAUCUAGCCGAACUCUUAGGCUUUGUGCACUUCCAUUCAUAUAAACUCUGCUUGGAAAAACAUGAACAAGGCUGGAAGAAAAGAAAAAUUUUCAACAGCUGAUAAGGCAAAGGGUUUGUGGGAGAAUCUGAACAAAUUUCAACAUUUUCCAACAAUACAGGUUGAUUUCUCAACAUUUGUUACUAUUGCUGAAGAUUAAGUAAGGUUUUCAAAAUGUAAUUUGGAAAGAAAGCAAUUUCCCAGCUCAUCUUUAGAGGCAGAAAGCUGGUGGGAAAGAAAAAAAAAAGUGUAUGACCUCCAGAUAUUCUGAGGCCAGCACGUCCUCUGGGCAGCCCCUACACUUGGCCCACAGCCUCUGAGGUGGAGUUGCACACACAUUGGCAGAUUACAUUGUUGAGAUUAUCAAGAAAGGGUUCCGUUUGUCAAAUGUCCCUUCCUUGCUCUGAUAACUGUCAGGUUCUUGGGCUGCUAUUGUCCUUGUUCUCACAGUGAGUCAUUGCUGUAACUAAAAUAAAAUCCUUCUUUGAAAUGUCUCUGUUGAUACG